CAUAUUGGAGUUUGUACUGAAUUGUUCGUUUACAUUGAAUUGGUCCUUGAUUUAAGGCGAUAUGAGUGAUA
rnacentral:tRNA from 1 species